GUGUUGUAUGAAAGGAGAGAAGGUUAGCACUCCCCUUGACAAGGCUGGAAGAGGCUCUCGGGCCUAACAACACACAUACGGUUAAGGCAUUGCCACCUACUUCGUGGCAUCUAAACAAACAAACAAAAAAUUUGA
rfam:Myotis brandtii contig216373, whole genome shotgun sequence.